AAAAUUGUUUCCUCUUGGUCCUUGGUUCUCAAUCUCAAACAGCUUUCUUCGCGGGCAAAGUUUCGCAAAUAAACGAAAAAUUGUGUCGAUCUCGCAAUCAAUCUGGUUGAUGCCCGAUUGUCUCCGUCACUCACUUUCUUCAAGUACAAUCUCUCUCUAUAUCUCAUUCUGUGAUGGGAUUUAAUGGUAUUGUUAGCCACUUGCAAAUCGCUGUUGGAUUGGUGUUGGGAUUUUAGAAUUGCAUGCCAUUUGAUGUUAAUUCUGAUUUUGGAAAGAAUUUGUAUUAUGCCCAUGAAUUUAUUCUUGCAACCAUCAUUUUUAUGCUUGCGAAUUGCUGAGGAGAAGGAUUUUACUUGUGAUGAUUCAGAGUAUAAUUGUAUAGAUUGGUUUGGUGAAUUUUGCAGUAUGGAGGAGCAGUUCAUACUAAGAGUCCCGCCUUCUGUUGCAGAGCGUUUAGAUCGUCUUUUGAGUGAAAAUACUCCUUCUGACGAAGAUCAAUCAUUGGAUUUGUCUUUUUCUGGUGAGAUUACACUUCUUUCCUUGCAUUGCAUUGCAUUUGGGAAGUUUUAACAUUUUGAUAUUGACAUGAAUACCAUGGGGUUUUAAUUUGUUUAUCUGUUUUCUCUUAUUAUUCUAUUGGAUGCUGCUUUUGCUCUUUGUAUUUGUAAGAUUAUUAUUCCCAAGUCAAAAUAAUUGGAGUUGUUUGCAUUAAUUAUUUUCUGCAUUUCAGCAUGUAUUGGGUUGAGGGGGUACUGUUAUACACUCAAUUCAAUCGAUAGUGAUGUUGGCUUUCUUCCUUUGAUCUAUUUUACAGGUUUGAUUUUGUUGUGUUUUAUUUUAUUUUAUUUUCUUUCAUGCUUCUGGAAGUGAGGUAUGUAAAUAGAGUUCUAUUUCUUGUAUGCAUUUUUUUUUUAUAGUACAGAAGCUUUAAAGGACAUGUUUCCUUCCUAGUUUUCCAUUCUAGAAAAUAAUUAUUUGAGAAUACUAGUUACAUUGGGUACUCAAGGACUCGGUUACAUUUGACUAUGUGGUUUUCAUGUUCUAUUCAAUAAAAGGACUAGGGAGUUAAGCUUUAAGAGAUGAUUUUUUAAAUUCUGGACCACAAGAUUGUGAACCCAAGGAAACAUUACGAAUUAUGGCUACACAGAGAUUAUAUUUGAUGAUGCGCUGUUCUUAAAGAAUAUUAUAAUGUGAUUUGCUUGAGCAAAAUGUUUAGUGAUACUGCUCUCACUAGCUUUCUUUUCUAUCAUACAUUUAAUGGAUGCUGAAAUGAGGUGUUCUUUGUGUUGUGUCAUUGAUGGAAGGUGAAAAGAGGCGUUGCCCGUAUUAGAUAUACUGGCAUUUGCGAUAAGUCUGCAGGGGACGUUGAUUGUUCUUAUAUAGGGACCAAGAGAUUUCUGGGUGCAAUUCUCUCUUGUUUGAAGCUCAAUUUGUGGUCCAAAUAAUUUGCUAGUUAUAUUUGUACUCUUUCCAAAACAACCAACAGGGGGGAAAAAUAAAAUACUGUUCAUGUUUGAUAGAACCUCAUUGCCAUUGCUACAGGAUUGCGUAUAUUCUGCAAGUGCAAGAAUAUAAAAAGCUAUGCUUCAAGGUUACAUGAUUUGUUGUUCAAAAAAAGAUUACAUGAUUUGAUGAUUGUUUUACUUAAUUGCUUUGGAAACCAUUGGAUGGAAGUUUUAGACAGUUUAAACCUUUCUUUAGUAGCUUAUAGACCAAACAAAUCAGUACAAAGGUCUAUUUAGCUAUUUUCUAAUUAAGCAUUAUAUAAAUCAUUUUCAUAAAAAAAAGUAGUACACAUUUUACUUGAAAGAUCUGCAUCUAACUUCCCUUAGGUGUGUGCUUGUGCUUUGUCCCUAAUGCCUUGUGGUCUUUGGCACUUAAGUGUGCUACUACCAAAAGCUUAGCCUUGGCAAAUUAUAAUUUGCCCACUUCAUCUAUAUCAAACCUAAAGAAAUAACUUUGUGAACAAUGUAACCAAUUCUAUAGAACUUCUGUCUGGAUUACAAUUACUCUGAACAUUUGGCAUUUCCAAAUUUACACUUUCAUUGACCUCAUUUUGCUCAUUGACCUCAUUUUGCCCAUUGACUUCAUUUUGCUUGCUACAUUCUCUGUAAGAAGCUUGUUGCUAAAAAGGACUAAGGUUGAAAAAAUAGCUCUCAGGAGUUCACUAGGAAUAACAGGUGACAUUUGUCAAAAUUAACUCUGCAUGAGGCUGUAGCAAAAGGAGGGAAAACUACUGAUUGUUGCGUUGCGGUGAAACUUGAAAGAGAUUUUAAAGACACCAGUUUCAUGUGCUGUUAUGGGUUCGGCUUGUUUUUUGUGUGGCCUUCCAGUCUCUUAUUUGCCAUGCGCCCAUGUAUAGUCUUGAAUGUAAAUAUCUUUCUGUGCAGAAGAUGGCAGGAGUGGCACAUUUGUCAUUGGCAAUGACCAUUUUCCUGCUUCUCUCUUGGAUCUUCCUUGUGUUGUGGAGUCCUACAAAACUUAUGAUGACUGUGCGCUAGUCAAAACUGCAGAUGUUGGUCAGAUGAUUAUGGUUAGAGAAGCAGGUGACAUUGCUCCAGAUGUAGUGGAGUACAGACAUGGACUCACUCCUCCUAUGAGGGAUGCUCGAAAACGAAGAUUUCGCAGGGAGCCAGACCUAAAUCCUGAGCUUGUCCAGCGUGUGGAGAAAGAUCUGCUGAACAUUAUGGCUGGUGGAACAGUUGAAAAUGCUGAUAUCCUUUUUUUAUUGUUCUCACCUUUAUUGUUAAAUCCCAGAGGUUCUGAUAUUCCAUAUUUAGCUCUCAGUAGUUGGUGCUUUUUGGUGACAUAGCAUAUAUCAUUUAGAAAAAAGGGGAAGAGAGAGAGAAGCACAAGGGACUGAGAAUGUAGCACAUUGAAACUGGGUUUGGUUGGGUUCCCGCCUUCCCUGUUACUUGAACAUCUAGAUAACCAACUUGAGCAUAUCUGCUUAUGUAUGGAAUGGCACCGGUAUUCAUUGGAAACUGAAUUUGAUUUGGAAAAUAUCUCAAAUUUUCUUAAUAGUGAAACCUCCUACCAUUGCCUUAAUAUGAAGCUAAUCGACAAUGCAAUAUAAGAGGCUUGUGUGAUGGAGAAUCUCUAGUAGAACAAGGUCCUGCAUCAUUGUGUUUAAGAUUUCAACCUCUUUUAUACUUUAUGUUUUGAUGGGAUUUUGUGGUUGUUCAUUUUAUCCUCAGUUUAAUCCUUAAUAGUAUGGAUACAUGUUGAAGUGAAUGAGCAAGAGGAAGAUGUUGAGCAGAAUGCCCGUAAAGCAAGUAAGAAAACUUCACCUGCACCUGCAGCAAAGCCUGAUGUUCAAGAGGCAGUAGCUAAUGCUGAGGAGCCUGAGAGAAGUGAUUCUGAUGAAUCAGACGAUUCAAUAUGAUAAAAAUGCCUUACAUUCAACUUGUUACAUUUACAAUGGUGGAUGGUCAUCUGAGUUGGAAAUGAGGGUAUGAUCUCUGUCCUAUGUAUAAGUUAUAGAUUCCUUUUGUUCUGUGCAAAUAUUGAAACACAAUGAGAAUUUGUAACCUUAGGGUAAGGAUGUGGGCUAGCAACUGUUGUUAUUGGUGUAUUAUCAGAUCAUAGUAAUGGAACUUUAGCGGUCACUUGUUUAAAAGAGAACUGAGCUGUAUUCUUUCACUGAAGAAAAUCAAUACAAUGUCUAUCUUCUUUAAUCUUUCUCCUUCUGCACCAUAUUUCUCUUCUACUCUCUUCCCUCUGUGGUCUCAUCUCUCCCUCUUUCUCUCUUACUUUCCCUCUCUUUCUCACUUUCCAAACACCCUUGUUAAGCCUCAACAAGCACAUGGCUUAACAGGAAUGUUCUGAUCUCUGCUGAAAGUUAUCUUGCACUGCAGGCUAUAUAGCAUUAUGGAAGGUACACCAACAUUGGAAUGAACAUGCUCAAAAUUGUUAAGUUUGGAAGUGCAAAACAUGUAUCUUGUUGCGGAAUAUGUUGUCUGGGACUCGGAGGGAGACUCGUUAUGGUCUAUUUUCAGGGCUGGGGGAUCAUAAUUGGUUGGGCGGUCCCUUCUAAUUCUGUCCAAUUUUUGAUCAAAUAUAACGAUUAAAAUUUUUAAAUUUUUUUAGAAGGGAAUUUUUUUAUUUUAUUUUAGUGCG
rnacentral:misc_RNA from 1 species